rnacentral:rRNA from 1 species
UAGGGAAUCUUCGGCAAUGGGGGGAACCCUGACCGAGCAACGCCGCGUGAGUGAAGAAGGUUUUCGGAUCGUAAAGCUCUGUUGUUAAGGAAGAACGAGUGUGAGAAUGGAAAGUUCAUACUGUGACGGUACUUAACCAGAAAGGGACGGCUAACUACGUGCCAGCAGCCGCGGUAAUACGUAGGUCCCGAGCGUUGUCCGGAUUUAUUGGGCGUAAAGCGAGCGCAGGCGGUUAGAUAAGUCUGAAGUUAAAGGCAGUGGCUCAACCAUUGUAGGCUUUGGAAACUGUUUAACUUGAGUGCAGAAGGGGAGAGUGGAAUUCCAUGUGUAGCGGUGAAAUGCGUAGUUAUAUGGAGGAACACCGGUGGCGAAAGCGGCUCUCUGGUCUGUAACUGACGCUGAGGCUCGAAAGCGUGGGGAGCGAACAGG